rnacentral:tRNA from 1 species
GGUGCGAUUGCCGUGUCGGCCGGGCUGGCCACUGCCAAUGGCCGGUGGUGCGAGGUGGAUUUCCUGACGUUCGAAUCGCUGGCCGUGCCG